GCCUGGGUGGCGGAACUGGUAGACGCAAGGGACUUAAAAUCCCUCGAACCUUGCGUUCGUGAGGGUUCGAUUCCCUCCCCAGGCACCA
rnacentral:tRNA from 2 species